CGAAGAGGAGUUAUCCGAAAUAGAGGAAGGAGAAGGACUCUGACUCCCGAUUUUGUUACACGUCGCAGCCAACAUGGCUAAAGGAGUCGACCCCAAUCUCGGCUCCUCCUGGAACAAAAGAAAAAGUUAGAAGCAGGAGGUGGGUCAGAGAGAACAGAUGUCCCUGUGUGUGCUGGGCUGCCAAGUCAGGCUAGGGCAGUGAAGCCCGAGACACAAGAGCCCAAAUGGUGUGACAAAGGAGGAGCAGGAAGCCUGGCUCUGCCUGGAUGAACCUCAGAGAGCGCCAGUCCACAUCCACAUCCCAGCCCCAACCCUCGGCACACGGCCCACAACCCUAUUGAACUACUAGAGCAGGGCCGUGGACCAUGUGCUGACUUUUUGCUGGAUCACACAACCAUACACAUGAUCACAGGAGUGUAAACGCUGACAUAUGAUCACUAGAGGACAAGUGUGCAGAGUUUAAGCAGAAAUCUCACACACAUGCACAGGUAUAAACACUUCAUCUUGUCAGACUGUGGUAUAGCAUGUUAUUAUCGCGCUUCCUCUUGCUAAGUGGGAUCUAUAUUCCUGUGGUGGGGAUUUCCAGUGUCUUUCCAUAACAACUCCAAUCAAAGAAAAUGAAGGGGUAUUUAGUUCUUCUCCAGAAGUGUUCUGCAAACUUGCUUUGUAACGUUAGACGAGGAAGUCAAGGUGAGUAGUGGCAAAAAGUGCUUAGUACACUUCAAUUUUUUUUUUUUAUUUAAGCUCACAGAGAAUUAUACAAAUUAUAAAAAGCAUUUCUGCUGUAUUCACUUGACACAGUUGGAAAAGUUUUAUAAAUUGCACUGCUGGAAAAGUUUUGUGCAUUAGAAAAAUAAAUAAUGACUAUUAAAUAAUGACUAUGAUGGUGAUGGUGGUGAUAUAAUUAAGAAUGUUAACUUCUCAAGAUAAGAGAUAAGAAAAAAUAUAGUCUUCAGAUUUCAGGUAAGGGAAACCUUUAGCCUAUAGAUUUAAGAUGUCCAUGUAAUACAAUUAGUUAUAUGAAAAAGGUCAAAAUAUGAUUUUAAUAUUUAAGCAUGCCUGUGUGUAAAUUCCAUAUUAAGGGGCUUCCCUGUCAUCAGGGCAAUUCAAGCGUGAAGUUGCAAAUGCGAAGCAUUGUGUUGGACUGCAGUCAGUCCAGCUUCAGCUGUUACUGAAGGCAAAUGCACCUUACCAAGCCACAGACAGCACAGAAUGAUUGAAAUCCCAACUGUUAACUGUUAAAUUUAUUAAAAUAAUUAAGUUUUUAUAAUGCAUUUUUAAUGAUUUACCUCUAUGCCACAAUAAUGAAAUAUAUUUAUAUU